UACGUAGGGGGCAAGCGUUGUCCGGAAUCAUUGGGCGUAAAGCGCGUGUAGGCGGCUAGAUAAGUCUGCUCUGAAAGCCCGGGGCUCAACCCCGGGAGGCGGGUGGAUACUGUCUAGCUCGAGUCCGGAAGAGGAGUGUGGAAUUCCUGGUGUAGCGGUGAAAUGCGCAGAUAUCAGGAGGAACACCGGUGGCGAAGGCGGUUCUCUGGGCCUGUUCUGACGCUGAGGAGCGAAAGCGUGGGGAGCGAACAGG
rnacentral:rRNA from 1 species